ACGGCCAUACCAUAUUGAAAACACAGGUUCUCAUCCGAACACCAAAGUUAAGCAACGUCGGGCCCGGUCAGUACUUGGAAGGGUGACCACAUGGGAACUGUAGGUUAUUACCUU